rnacentral:rRNA from 1 species
CCUACGGGAGGCAGCAGUAAGGAAGUAUUGGUCAAUGGGCGCAAGCCUGAACCAGCCAUGCCGCGUGCAGGAAGACGGCCCUAUGGGUUGUAAACUGCUUUUGAACAAGAGAAAACCUCGGUACGUGUACCGAGCUGAUAGUAUUGUUAGAAUAAGCAUCGGCUAACUUCGUGCCAGCAGCCGCGGUAAGACGAAGGAUGCAAGCGUUAUCCGGAUUCAUUGGGUUUAAAGGGUGCGUAGGCGGCCUGAUAAGUCAGUGGUGAAAUCUCUCAGCUUAACUGAGAAACUGCCAUUGAUACUGUCGGGCUUGAGUACAGAUGAUGUGGGCGGAAUAUGACAUGUAGUGGUGAAAUACUUAGAUAUGUCAUAGAACACCGAUUGCGAAGGCAGCUCACAAAACUGUAACUGACGCUGAGGCACGAAAGUGCGGGGAUCAAACAGGAUUAGAUACCCUGGUAGUCCGCACCGUAAACGAUGAUUACUCGUUGUUGGCAAUAUGACCGUCAGCGGCCGACGACGAAGACGAGUAAGUAAGUACCACCCGUAGGGAGGUACGCCGGCGACGGAGAAACGACGAAAGAAGUUAGACGGACGNGGAGAGNGCCGACGGACGACGACGAGGGGAGGUUAGGG